GACGAACGCUGGCGGCGUGCUUAACUCAUGCAAGUCGAACGGAAAGGCCCUGCUUUUGUGGGGUGCUCGAGUGGCGAACGGGUUAGUAACACGUGAGUAACCUGCCCUUGACUUUGGGAUAACUUCAGGAAACUGGGGCUAAUACCGGAUAGGAGCUCCUGCUGCAUGGUGGGGGUUGGAAAGUUUCGGCGGUUGGGGAUGGACUCGCGGCUUAUCAGCUUGUUGGUGUGGUAGUGGCUUACCAAGGCUUUGACGGGUAGCCGGCCUGAGAGGGUGACCGGCCACAUUGGGACUGAGAUACGGCCGAGACUCCUACGGGAGGCAGCAGUGGGGAAUAGUGCACAAUGGGCGGAAGCCUGAUGCAGCAACGCCGAGUGCGGGAUGACGGCCUUAGGGUUGUAAACCGCUUUCGCCUGUGACGAAGCGUGAGUGACGGUAAUGGGUAAAGAAGAACCAGAUAGCUAAGUG
rnacentral:rRNA from 1 species